UACGUAGGUGGCAAGCGUUGUCCGGAUUUAUUGGGUUUAAAGGGUGCGUAGGCGGCUUUGUAAGUCAGUGGUGAAAUAUGGCAGCUCAACUGUCAGGGUGCCAUUGAUACUGCGGAGCUUGAGUACAGAUGAGGUAGGCGGAAUUGACGGUGUAGCGGUGAAAUGCUUAGAUAUCAGGAGGAACACCGGUGGCGAAGGCGCACAUCUGGCCCGAUACUGACGCUGAGGCGCGAAAGCUAGGGGAGCAAACGGG
rnacentral:rRNA from 1 species